GUGAUAAUCAAAGCCACUGUUAGACAC
rnacentral:sRNA from 1 species